rnacentral:sRNA from 1 species
AUCUUCACGGUGACGCCGUGCCCGGUCUCAAAUCCCGCUUCCUUCCUGCCAGUCACCCCUUAAGGUGCUGGCUGGGGAUUUGUGAGUAACAGGCGGUCAUGCAGGUUUCGCUGUUUGAUAUGGCGGACGCUG